GGAGUCUAGCAUGUGCGCGAGUCAUUGGGACUAAUGCGAAACCUAAAGGCGAAAUGAAAGUGAAGGCACGCUUAACGCGUGCUCAGGGAGGAUGAGUCACGCAAAGUCGUGGCUCCGCACUCCCGGGGCGUCUCGUUCUCUCUUGCGUUGCGCGGGCGUGACUUCGCGGUUGCGUUCGUUGCGCGUUGGACGAGAGAGGCGCACCCAGAGCGUACACGCUGGGACCCGAAAGAUGGUGAACUAUGCCUGGUCAGGACGAAGUCAGGGGAAACCCUGAUGGAGGUCCGUAGCGAUUCUGACGUGCAAAUCGAUCGUAAGAACUGGGUAUAGGGGCGAAAGACUAAUCGAACCAUCUAGUAGCUGGUUCCCUCCGAAGUUUCCCUCAGGAUAGCUGGCGCUCGGAGCGAAAGAUAUUUUUAAAAGAUGAGCGAGUCUCAUCCGGUAAAGCGAAUGAUUAGAGGCAUUGGGGUCGAAACGGCCUCAACCUAUUCUCAAACUUUAAAUGGGUGAGAUCUCCGGCUUGCUUAAACAAUGAAGCCGCGAGAUCGGAUCAGAGUGCCAAGUGGGCCAUUUUUGGUAAGCAGAACUGGCGCUGUGGGAUGAACCAAACGUUGAGUUAAAGCGCCUAAAUCGACGCUUAUGGGAUACCAUGAAAGGCGUUGGUAACUUAAGACAGCAGGACGGUGGCCAUGGAA
rnacentral:rRNA from 1 species